UACGUAGGGGGCAAGCGUUGUCCGGAAUCAUUGGGCGUAAAGAGCGUGUAGGCGGCCCGGUAAGUCCGCUGUGAAAGUCGAGGGCUCAACCCUCGAAUGCCGGCGGAUACUGUCGGGCUAGAGUCCGGAAGAGGCGAGUGGAAUUCCUGGUGUAGCGGUGAAAUGCGCAGAUAUCAGGAAGAACACCCGUGGCGAAAGCGGCUCUCUGGGACGGUACUGACGCUGAGACGCGAAAGCGUGGGGAGCGAACAGG
rnacentral:rRNA from 1 species